GGGGAUUUAGCUCAGCGCCAUAAGCGCCUGCCUUGCAAGCAGGCAGUUGUGAGUUCAAUCCCUG
rnacentral:tRNA from 1 species